UCCAGAGGCCUCCUCAGAGAAGGGUCCUGUAUCAUGUGUAGUAAGCAGGAAUGUUCAGUGAACAUAACUAUACAAUGCAACUGCUUCACUAACUUAUGAACAGAAAUCAAGUUGUGUUUAAAAGAAGGAACUACCAGUACAUUGUGAAGGGUGAUGGAAGGAGUCAAGGGAAAGGAGCCAGUGCAAGUCACUUUCACUUUAUUGCCAUUUGGAAGAGUGACAAGAUAUGGCAGAGUUAAAGGUAUAAUGUUAAAAAGUAGUUGUUUAUCAUGGGUCAUGUGAUUAGAGGUAUCACUAACUUGUGAACAGAAAUCAAGUUGUGUUUAAAAAAAGGAACUAGCAGUACAUUGUGAAGGGUGAUGAAGGGAGUCAAGGCAAAGGAGCCAGUGCAAGUCACUUUCACUUUAUUGCCAUUUGGAAGAGUGACAAGAUAUGGCAGAGUUAAAGGUAUAAUGUUAAAAAGUAGUUGUUUAUCAUGGUCAUGUGAUUAGAGGCACCUGAAUCUAUAAUCCAGGUGACAGAAUUAAUGUGAGUAAGUAAGCAAAGUUUGGAAUCAGAAAUAGGGUUCUCAGUUAACAUAGUACCAACAAAGUUUGCAGCAUAUAUGGGAGGAGGAGUUUGAGUAGUGGAGUCCCCUAACUUGGUCUGGUGUAAUAAAUUCAUCAACUGGUCAUAAUCUUGUCUGCUCAACCCUGGUAUCACAGAACUCUGGCCAUCUAUUNNNNNNNNNNUUGGUCUGGUGUAAUAAGUUCAUCAACUGGUCAUAAUCAUGUCUGCUCAACCCUGGUAUCACAGAGCUUUGGCCAUCUAGUCUUGCAACAGAUUGAUGGCAGCAGGAGGAUUCCCUUGAGGAACAGACAACAGUCCAUCAGAAAUAGAAGUAUCCAGACCAGUACUCAGAUGAGCAGCAACAGGCCUCCUUCCCUUGUUAAAGGUGGCACUUUAUGGAUACCCAUGGAUCUUGAAGCACUUAUCAAUUAAGUGUCCAGAUUUUUUACAGUAUCUACAAAAUAAAGGUCCCCUGGCUUGGUCAAAAUUGAC
rnacentral:lncRNA from 1 species